AAUUUCAUUAGGCCACACCAAUUUGAUUCCUUGUUCGACGGACCCGCCCGCACCUAUUUUUUUCAAAACAGAAUUUUUUUAUUUUUUUUAUAUUCCCGCUUCCCGCAUCCGGAAAUGUAAUCAUGUCCAUUUCCCGCACCGUUUUUUUUUUUGUAAAUAUUAUAAAAAGAUAUCAACAUUUGUUUUUAAAAUCACAGUCUAACCUGCUAUAUAACGAUUUUAAACAUAAAAGCACCCCACCAUACUGUGUAAAUAUAUGUGAGAAUAUUUGUUUCAGCAUGAAACCUAUUUAUCUAUAGUGGGAGUGCUCCGAAAUAAAUUUAUAAAGUUCAGCGGAAAUACCUGUAAAGAACAAAAAAAAUUGGUUUCUUUCCCCCUUACUUAUAUUCCCUAUAAAAAAUGUUCGUUGUUAGAAUAAAAUACAAAAAACUUCUUAAGGAUUUGCCUUCAACUGCAAUUAUAUUGUAUGCUGGCGAAACAAAACUAUCCAUAGCCGCUACAUGUUUAUGCACC
rnacentral:lncRNA from 1 species